GAUGAACGCUGACAGAAUGCUUAACACAUCAGCAAUUGAUUGGUGGCGGACGGUUGAGUAACGCGUAAAGAACUUGCCUCACAGCUAGGGACAACAUUUGGAAACGAAUGCUAAUACCUAAUACUGUGAGAGAGCUUUGCGUCCCAUUAGCUAGUUGGCGAGGUAACGGCUCACCAAGGCGAUGAUGGGUAGCCGGCCUGAGAGGGUGAUCGGCAAAAAGGGGAAGAAGACACGGCCCUUACUCCGACGGGAGGCGGAAGUGGGGAAUAUUGGACAAGGUACCAAAGUCUGAUCCAGCAAUUCUGUGUGAACGAGGAAGUUUUCGGAAUGUAAAGUGCUUUCAGUUGGGAAGCAGUACCAACAGAAGAAGUGACGGCUAAAUACGUGACAGCCGCCGCGGUAAUAC
rnacentral:rRNA from 1 species